rnacentral:rRNA from 1 species
CACGUAGGUGGAUACUUAAGUCGAAUGUGAAAGCCCCGGGCUUAACCUGGGAAUUGCAUCCGAUACUGGGUGUCUCGAGUAUGGUAGAGGGAAGUGGAAUUUCCGGUGUAGCGGUGAAAUGCGUAGAUAUCGGAAAGAACACCAGUGGCGAAGGCGGCUUCCUGGACUAAUACUGACACUGAGGUGCGAAAGCGUGGGGAGGCAAAACA